GCGCCCUUAGCUCAGCCGGAUAGAGCAACAGCCUUCUAAGCUGUGGGUCGCAGGUUCGAGUCCUGCAGGGCGCGCCA
rnacentral:tRNA from 1 species